GGUCUCAUCGUCUAGUGGUUAGGACAUCAGGUUUUCAUCCUGAAAACAGGGGUUCGAUUCCCCUUGAGACUGCCA
rnacentral:tRNA from 1 species